rnacentral:rRNA from 1 species
UUGAACGCUGGCGGAAUGCUUUACACAUGCAAGUCGAGCGGCAGCGCGGGGCAACCUGGCGGCGAGCGGCGAACGGGUGAGUAAUAUAUCGGAACGUACCCUGUCGUGGGGGAUAACACAUCGAAAGAUGUGCUAAUACCGCAUACGCCCUGAGGGGGAAAGCGGGGGAUUCGUAAGAACCUCGCGCAAUUAGAGCGGCCGAUGUCGGAUUAGCUAGUUGGUGGGGUAAAGGCUCACCAAGGCGACGAUCCGUAGCGGGUCUGAGAGGAUGAUCCGCCACACUGGGACUGAGACACGGCCCAGACUCCUACGGGAGGCAGCAGUGGGGAAUUUUGGACAAUGGGCGAAAGCCUGAUCCAGCCAUGCCGCGUGAGUGAAGAAGGCCUUCGGGUUGUAAAGCUCUUUCAGCCGGAACGAAACGGUACGCUCUAACAUAGCGUGCUAAUGACGGUACCGGCAGAAGAAGCACCGGCUAACUACGU